AACGAACGCUGGCGGCAUUCCUAACACAUGCAAGUCGAACGAAGCCUUCGGGCUUAGUGGCGCACGGGUGCGUAACGCGUGGGAACCUGCCCCUUGGUUCGGAAUAACAGUUAGAAAUGACUGCUAAUACCGGAUGAUGACGAAAGUCCAAAGAUUUAUCGCCGAGGGAUGGGCCCGCGUAGGAUUAGCUAGUUGGUGAGGUAAUGGCUCACCAAGGCGACGAUCCUUAGCUGGUCUGAGAGGAUGAUCAGCCACACUGGGACUGAGACACGGCCCAGACUCCUACGGGAGGCAGCAGUGGGGAAUAUUGGACAAUGGGCGAAAGCCUGAUCCAGCAAUGCCGCGUGAGUGAUGAAGGCCUUAGGGUUGUAAAGCUCUUUACCAGGGAUGAUAAUGACAGUACCUGGAGAAUAAGCUCCGGCUAACUCCGUGCCAGCAGCCGCGGUAAU
rnacentral:rRNA from 1 species